rnacentral:tRNA from 1 species
GCGAUGUUAACUCAGUCUGGUAGAGUCGCAGCCUUCCAAGCUGUCGGUCAAGGGUUCGAAUCCCUUACAUCGCU